AUUUGGACUAUAAAUAAGACAUGUUCCCACCCUAAUAAUCAGAGUAUUCACCAACUGUCUCCAAAAUCAUCUAACAGAUCAAAGCAAACCAAAGAAUACAGUAUGGCUAAUACCGUAACUUUAUUGUAUGUUUGUUUGAUCGUGGUAGCCUCUAUCUACCCCAGUCACUCAAACUGUCAACUCAAAGACAGUAAAACAAAACCACUGUGUAAAACCAACUCCGUCAAGUGUUGUGAUGAAUUAUUAGUCAAAAGUUAUAAUUGUGCAAGGGAUGAGUUGUGGAGAAGGAUGUAUUGUUCUCCUCUUGGCGCCUGUGGUGAUAAUGUCCUAAAAUCAUGUUGUCUGGGUUACUACAUGAAAUUUCUAAAAUAUCCUCCGGAUGGAAGUUGCAACAGUUUUAAAACGGCGAACCAGUAAAUUGUAUCUUGGCUGAACUUCAAGAUAUACUAACUACUAACUUAUUUCAUUAUAUAACAUUCACUUCACACUAUAACGACGUUGUUCUACAGUGUCGUCUUCUAUUCUUUCCUUUUAUGUAUACAUUCCGCUUCGUAAAUAUCAUUUUUUAAUAA